AGUUUCUAGUCAACUUGUGCUACAUUUUUCAGUCUUGCCCUUUUCUGAGAAAUGUAACAUAAUCUACUAAUUUAAUGGCUAGCCGAAACUUGAUCUGAUUCUCUCUUACUAUCCAAUAGUCAAACUCAGCUUUUUAUAUUUUCCCAUUCAGAUUCAGUAUGUCUUUCUUAAAGCUUGAUGUUGCAGGUGAAAGGGGGCUAGAACUCCUCGUAGGGAGAUCUUACCCGCUGGUCAGAAAAUUGGGAUCCCUUCCACAUUGUUAUUGGAAUUGAUGGAGGAAGAAGUGGAAUUCUCUAGGAAUAAGUUUGCUGGGAGUCAAGCUGACCGGGCUGUGAAGGAAGAAGCUUACUGAAAAGCUGAAGAACACAAAAAUUAUAGGUGAUGGUUAUUUCUUUGCUUUAUGUACGUUUCGUUUUCUAUUUGUAUCGACUGACUUUGCAGAUAAAAGUGGGAAGAAAGAACGAGCAGCUAAAUCUGCAGGUGAAACCAAAACUAAAGGAGCUGCUGCUGUGGAAAAGGAAGUAACAAUCGACAGACUUGAUAUCCGUGUUGGGGUUAUCAAGGAAGUUCAGAAACAUCAUGAUGCUGAUUCUUUGUAUCUGGAAAAAAAUGAUGUCGGUGAAGAACCUAUAGGACUGUCGUUAGUGGUCUUCUCAAAUAUAUUCCUCUUGAAGAGAUGCAGAACCGCAAGGUUUGUGUUCUCUGCAACCUAAAGCCAGCAACCAUGAGGGGAAUUAAAUCACAAGCUAUGGUUCUUUGUGCUUCCACUAGUGAUAACGUUGAAUUUGUGGGUUUGACGGUGAGCCGGAUGAUGUUCUAAACCCUAAGAAGAAGACGCUGCAAGUGGAUCUACUACAUUCAGACAAGAAUCUUGUAGCCUGCUAUGAAGAUCUGCCAUUCACAACUUCUGCAGGUGUUUGCAAAGUUUUAUCAACAUCCGAUGGGUCAAUUCGAUGAACGCUUGUGGGACUAUGCUUUGCAUUUUUGCCAUCUGACGUUGUGUUUGUUUUAUUCAUCUUUGCUACAACACGAGUCUGGUGUAAUAGGUAGAUUGAUGUUGGAUUUAGAACUUAGUUUGACUUGAAAUUAGUGCGUGGUUCAA